CACGUAGUUAGCCGGUGCUUAUUCAUGAGUUACCGUCAUAUUCCUCACUCAUAAAAGCAGUUUACGACCCGAAGGCCUUCAUCCUGCACGCGGCGUUGCUCCAUCAGGCUUUCGCCCAUUGUGGAAGAUUCCUCACUGCUGCCUCCCGUAGGAGUCUGGACCGUGUCUCAGUUCCAGUCUGGCUGGUCAUCCUCUCAGACCAGCUAACGAUCGUCGACUUGGUGAGCCAUUACCUCACCAACUAUCUAAUCGUACGCAGGCCAUUCCCAAAGCGGAUAAAUCCUUUAAUCCGAAGAUCAUAUGCGGCAUUAGCCACCCUUUCGGGCGGUUAUUCCUCACUUUGGGGUAUGUUCCCACGCGUUACUCAGCCGUCCGCCGCUCGCCGCCAAGUAGUAAACUACUCGCGCUGCCGCUCGACUUGCAUGUGUUAGGCACGCCGCCAGCAUUCAUCCUGAGCCAGGAUCAAACUCU
rnacentral:rRNA from 1 species